GUUGUUGUUGUCAGUUCUAAUGUCUGAUGCAAUCCGAUGACUUUUUAAAGUUGAAAUUUAACAGUAUAGUGAAGAUGAAUGGUAUAUAAUAAGCAAUAGUUGAAACUUAUAGCUAAUGAUUUAAACGGCAAAGCAAAAUUUGGUGUGUUUACUGGGAUAUAAAAAUAACAAGGCGAGAAAUUAAAAAAAAAAAUGUUGGUCAAAUACAGGCAGACAAUAUCAUGACCAAAUGAUAGAAGAAAAACAAUCAUAGAAAACUGAAGAUUUAGUAAAACCCUCGAGUUAACGGUGCCAGGAAACCAUAAGAAGUUCUGCUCUAGAAGUGCAAUUCGUCGUGUAAAAAUCUGUUGAUCAGUCGCAUUUUGGUGAUGUCAUUAACUAGGAAG
rnacentral:lncRNA from 1 species